AUGCUUAGCUGGCAGGGGAGAUACCAUGAUCACAAAGGUGGUUUUCCCAGGGCAAGGUUUAUCCAUUGUACUCUGGAUGUGCUCACCCCUGCAAUUUCUCCAAAUGUGGGAAAUCCAACUGCACAAUUUGUGGUAGUGGGGGACUGUGUUAAUGCUCUCCCCUG